rnacentral:lncRNA from 1 species
UGUAGGCAAUAAUUGCCAUAAACUUAAGCGCUAGAUCACAAACCAAAGACUUCAAAACCAAUUUUAAAUAUAGGAGGGUAGAGGGCUGGAGGUACUUAAUUAUUUUUACAUACAUAUAACAUAUUAUAUAUAUAUGAAAAAUUGUAUUAUCAUCAAUUAAAUCUUGUGAUUUUACUUAUUCAUUCUUGAAGCAUCUCUUCCAUACUGGAUGGCUCUUCCACACAUCAACCAUUCCAUCAAUGGGAACUCCCUUAGUCUCUGGUACUAAGAAGACUACGAAUAGUCCCAUAACGACGAUCCAUCCAGAGAAGAAGAAGAAUAUGUUUGCUUGCAUUUUGCAAAGCAUUGUUAAGAAUGCUUGAGCAAUGAUUGAAGUGAAAAGCAUGUUUGUGCUCACUGCAAAUGCGAAACCGGCUGUUCUUGUUUCCAUUGGGAAUGUUUC